CACUAAUGAAGCUACUGAUUAGCGCUAGUCUUUUAAGCUAGAGUAGGGGG
rnacentral:tRNA from 1 species